rnacentral:rRNA from 1 species
GACGAACGCUGGCGGCGUGCCUAAUACAUGCAAGUCGAGCGGAUGAUGGAGGAGCUUGCUCCUCCUGAUUCAGCGGCGGACGGGUGAGUAACACGUGGGCAACCUGCCCUGUAGAUUGGGAUAACUCCGGGAAACCGGGGCUAAUACCGAAUAAUCCACCGGACCUCAUGGUCUGGUGUUGAAAGACGGCAUCUCGCUGUCACUACAGGAUGGGCCCGCGGCGCAUUAGCUAGUUGGUGAGGUAACGGCUCACCAAGGCCACGAUGCGUAGCCGACCUGAGAGGGUGAUCGGCCACACUGGGACUGAGACACGGCCCAGACUCCUACGGGAGGCAGCAGUAGGGAAUCUUCCACAAUGGACGAAAGUCUGAUGGAGCAACGCCGCGUGAGUGAAGAAGGUUCUCGGAUCGUAAAACUCUGUUGUGAGGGAAGAACAAGUACCGGAGUAACUGCCGGUACCUUGACGGUACCUCAUUAGAAAGCCACGGCUAACUACGUGCCAGCCGCCGCCGUAACAC